rnacentral:tRNA from 1 species
GAAACGCUGGCUCAAGGGGAGAGCGCGGCCUAUGCCGAGGUUACGGGUUCGAGUCCCGUGCGUUUCGCCA